UGAACGCUGGCGGUAGGCCUAACACAUGCAAGUCGAACGGCAGCACAGUAAGAGCUUGCUCUUACGGGUGGCGAGUGGCGGACGGGUGAGGAAUACAUCGGAAUCUACUUUUUCGUGGGGGAUAACGUAGGGAAACUUACGCUAAUACCGCAUACGACCUACGGGUGAAAGCAGGGGAUCUUCGGACCUUGCGCGAUUGAAUAAGCCGAUGUCGGAUUAGCUAGUUGGCGGGGUAAAGGCCCACCAAGGCGACGAUCCGUAGCUGGUCUGAGAGGAUGAUCAGCCACACUGGAACUGAGACACGGUCCAGACUCCUACGGGAGGCAGCAGUGGGGAAUAUUGGACAAUGGGCGCAAGCCUGAUCCAGCCAUACCGCGUGGGUGAAGAAGGCCUUCGGGUUGUAAAGCCCUUUUGUUGGGAAAGAAAAGCAGCAGGUUAAUACCCCGCUGUUCUGACGGUACCCAAAGAAUAAGCACCGGCUAACUUCGUG
rnacentral:rRNA from 1 species